UACAGAGGGUGCAAGCGUUAAUCGGAGUUACUGGGCGUAAAGGGCGCGUAGGUGGGUACUUAAGUCGGUUGUGAAAUCCCUGGGCUUAACCUAGGAAUUGCAAUCGAUACUGAGUAUCUAGAGUAUGGUAGAGGAAAGUGGAAUUCUCGGUGUAGUGGUUAAAUACGUAGAUAUCGAGAAGAACACCAGUGGCGAAGGCGGCUUUCUGGACCAAUACUGACACUGAAGCGCGAGAGCGUGGGGAG
rnacentral:rRNA from 1 species